rnacentral:sRNA from 1 species
UGGGCAAGCGAAAGGCCUGGUUAAACCUGAAAGAGGAAUCAGACAGGGAGUGUAACGCCCGUAAACCGGAAAAUCGGUUAGGGUUUGUUUUUAAAUCAACCGGUCUAAUUGGUUGGGUUAAUUGGAAACCCUAGAGUGUGCCUAUAAAAGAAGGAAACUCGAAAUUAGGGCUUUAGUUAGCCACUUUUUGUUUUAUAAAGGAGAAAAAGAGCGAAAAAGAGAAGGAGCAUAAUCGUUAGGGUUUGGGAGAAACCAGUUUCGUCAUAUCAAAUCGUGGUAAAAGGUAACGAAAUAUG